rnacentral:rRNA from 1 species
GGUGAACGCUGGCGGCGUGCUUAAGACAUGCAAGUCGAACGAUCGUCUUCGGACGGUAGUGGCGCACGGGUGAGUAACGCGUAACUGACCUGCCCCCAAGUUCCGAAUAACCCUCCGAAAGGAGGGCUAAUACGGGAUGUGCUGUCCCCUCCUGUGGGGCCAGUAAAGGCUUGACCGCUUGGGGAUGGGGUUGCGUUCCAUCAGCUAGGUGGUGGGGUAAAGGCCUACCAUAGCAACGACGGAUAACCGGCCUGAGAGGGUGGCCGGUCACAGGGGCACUGAGACCCGGGGUCCGCCUCUGCAGGGAGGCGGCGGUAAGGAUCGUACCCAAUUGGAGGAAAUCCUGAGGGGGGGAGGAGGGUGAGGGGAGAAGGUUUUCCGGUUGUAAACCUAUGAAACAGGGGAGAAAGACGAGGAAGCGGGAUGACGGUACCUGAGUAAUAGCACCGGCUAACUCCGUG